UACGUAGGGUGCGAGCGUUAAUCGGAAUUACUGGGCGUAAAGCGCGCGUAGGCGGUUUUGUAAGUCGGAUGUGAAAGCCCCGGGCUUAACCUGGGAAUUGCAUUCGAUACUGCGUGACUAGAGUAUGGUAGAGGGAAGCGGAAUUCCGGGUGUAGCGGUGAAAUGCGUAGAUAUCGUAAGGAAGACCAGUGGCGAAGGCGAGUCUCUGGACAGCAACUGACGCUGAGGCACGAAGGCCAGGGGAGCAAACGGG
rnacentral:rRNA from 1 species